rnacentral:lncRNA from 1 species
AUUGACCAUAGACACACUCUUCCAAUUUUAACAUAAUUAACCUUAACUAUGAGUCUUAAUUUAUUUUAUUUUUAAUUUUUAAUUUUGAAACAACACAAUUUUAUUUAUAAUAAUUCCUNNNNNNNNNNNNNNNNNNNNNNNNCAUGACAAACAAAACAUAGCAAAACCAAUACACCAUACUAGAAACCAAAACAAUCAAUUUGUACUUACCUAACCACAAAAAUGUAGCAACGCGGCAGUUAGCCUAAUAACUAAAAAAAACAUAAGGAAUCCUAUACCCUAAAAAACAAAGACUAGCAAAGCAAAAUCUUGUGUCCCUAAAAUUUUACCUUAACAAACUAUUACUUAAAUUUCUUUAGGAUUUACUAUGAUUUUUUUUUUCUUAUCGUAAUACCAUUUCUAAAAAUUGGCAUCCGCGCUAAAGUCUACUAAAUUUCAUGCUCACAUAUUAUUCAACUAGCCAUAAACUAACACAAUGUUACAUAUUCCUGAACUACAUAAUCACCUACAUAUAUGACCAUUGAUUCUCUUAGUGAAGUAAAAUUUCAAUCCAUAAGACACUCAAACAAGCAAGACCUUACUAUACUCUAAGUCUAUCAUAACAUUAUCAUAAUUAUUAGUCAUAUAAAACUAAUGUUUUCCUAAACAUUCUAAGAUAUUUCUAUGAUUCUCUAUUAUUACUCCUUCUCUAUGAACUAGUUAUGCAUAUAGAAAAUCAUUAGAUCCCAUUAUUAUCUAUUUAUUUAUACUAGUCAACCAACUAUAUUCUCAAUAAUUUAAAGUAUCAAUAUCUUUCAAUGUAGUUCCUUAGUCUACUUAGAAAAAGAAAAUUGACUAACCAUCAGGAGUUCUACUCAUUCCGACAUAUAUCCAUGUUGUCAUCAUCUGCACUAAAAUGACUCACAAAAUCUCCAUUACGAUUAGACCAUCCUUAUACCCCAUAUACAAACUUAGAAUGAAAACAAAUUAAUCCAACAAGUUCGAACAAAGAUCACACCACAAAAGCAAACAAAGAUCACAUAACAAAAGCAAACAUAGAUGACACAACAAAAGCAUAAUGAAUCUAUUCCUCAAAGACUCCCGAAAGACUCGACCAGCUCUGAUACCACUAAUUGUAACACCCCCUUUUCAGAGACUGAAAAGAAGAGCGUCACAGUUCUCUACCCAAAUUUAAAUGCUUAAAUACAUGCAAAUAAAAUCAUGCUGAUUUCAGUUCUGGAAGCAUCAUUCUAAAUGUACACCAAGAAAUAGAAAAAAUUGGACUU